rnacentral:rRNA from 1 species
AGUGAACGCUGGCGGUAGGCCUAACACAUGCAAGUCGAACGGCAGCACAGUAAGAGCUUGCUCUUACGGGUGGCGCGUGGCGGACGGGUGAGGAAUACAUCGGAAUCUACUUUUUCGUGGGGGAUAACGUAGGGAAACUUACGCUAAUACCGCAUACGACCUACGGGUGAAAGCAGGGGAUCUUCGGACCUUGCGCGAUUGAAUGGGCCGAUGUGGGAUUAGCUAGUUGGCGGGGUAAAGGCCCACCAAGGCGACGAUCCGUAGCUGGUCUGAGAGGAUGAUCAGCCACACUGGAACGGAGACACCGUCCAGAGUCCUACGGGAGGCAGCAGUGGGGAAUAUUGGACAAUGGGCGCAAGCCUGAUCCAGCCAUACCGAGUGGGUGAAGAAGGCCUUCGGGUUGUAAAGACCUUUUGUUGGGAAAGAAAAGCAGCAGGUUAAUACCCCGCUGUUCUGACGGUACCCAAAGAAUAAGCACCGGCUAACUUCGUG